AUCGAGCCUAGAGUCACUAGUCAAUAAUUUCAAUUAUUUUUUAGUGCUACAGGUAACUCGAAGAGUAAAGAAUCAUUUUAUGCCCUAAUUUAAUUUAUUUGAAGUGUAAAUUAGGUACCAAAAUGAUAACAUUU